ensembl:lncRNA
CCCCCCCCCCGGCCCCCCAGGUAAUGGCCGGCGUUCACAUCAGCGUAGCGUCCAGGGACCACGAUUCGCCUGACCCCCCCCCUCACCUCCGGUUGUCGUGGCCGCACCAAAGGGACGGAGAAAACCCCCAAAGUGACAAAGAACGGAAUAGCCGGCGACCUCGUCCUUGAAUAGAUAGCAGUCAAAGAAAGCGACUCUCUGGGAUGUGGCUUCAGAGAGUUGCGAUAAAAACAUGGAGUGUUUCAUCAGAAAAUACAAUCAAUCAGCCCUCACAUCCAAACCCUUUUCCACGGCGCAGGCUGGAUAUCAAUGGAAGACCGUCACGGAACAACUGCCAGGCCUGUGAGGCUUUGGCAUUCUCCUCGGUCUACAGUAUGUUACCGUGAAUACCGCGCUUGUGUUUACCGCGUUGUGUAACGCUAACGCGGCAAUGCGUUCCCCGUCUGGGACUUGGAGAGAGACAGACGCUUAAGGCAAAGACUUUCGAUUUAAUUACUGGCACAGCGCAGCCUCCUUGGUGGCUACAUCUGGUCUCUGUCUCGUGUUCAGAGUCGCAUGUUGUUUUAAUCGUUUCCCGGGCUCCAUCGCUUGAUUGCUGCUCGCUGAUCAUCUCACGAUUUUUCUUCUCGGAACGCCGUCGUCAUCCAUUUCAGAAACGACAAAGCACUUCAGGGCUGUCACUCGCUGUACGGAAACAUAUUUAUUUUUCCACAAAUCAACCAGUUCGCAGAGUGAGAGUAUGUGGCCAAGGGCCGAGGAAUGUAGGCUACAGACGAGGGAGGAGGGAGUGAAUGAUUUGAGUGACUUUGUACAACCUCUGUACGUUAAUCCACAACAGUUUCCCCCUCGUUUUAUUUAUUCAUUCUUGGGUCAAUGGGCGGUCUGGACAUUAGGGGGCUCCUAAAAAAUGAACUGCAGAGCUCUGGCAGAGUCUAGCUAGCUAGCUGCCAACUUUUUUUUCUGAUCAUUUUCUUUUUUCCUGCAAAAACCGGCAGUUUCACAUUACCGUCUCACAUCACGUGCUUUACGUUUUAGCAUCAGUUUAAUUCAAUACCAUUGUAUGCUUCUAAUGUUCACAUAUCUCAAAUCAUACAUCCUGCAUAGUAUAAUUUAGGACAUUGGAUAAAGGUCUGUCCGUCACAACAAACACGUGAUCGAAAAGGAAAAGGUUGAAUAUCAUUUGUUUGUGAGCGGUAAAACGAUCAACGCUCGAUCAAGCUAUCCACGCGCGCUGAACUUUCCGUCAGCUGCCGUUUGUUGGUUCAUCAUUGUUUCAUUUAUUUUUAUAGCAGUGGAAAUGUAUUCACAGGAUUCCCGGUCUGUGCUUGAGUUGUGCCUUUAUUUUUUACCAAUCAACAUUUACUCAGUUCCUGCUCGCCGGCACCACUUGUAAUUAGCUUGUAAUUACAAAUUAAGAGCGCAACACACACCACCAACCGACCCCCUUCCCCUCACACUGGACAAACCUUCCGGUUCCAUCCAGUUCUGUCGACGUGCAGUCGCUGUCGGUUUGGACUCUUAUCGCUAAGACAAGGAUGCAUGAACACUUCCUGUUUCUAGAAUUAUUUAUCAGUGAUUGGCUGUGCGAUGUAACCAAUCAGCAGGACUCUUUUGAUUUGCUGCCUUCAAGCCCCGCCUCCUACCUUGUAAUUACCAGAAGACUUUUAUAGAGCUCACAAAUGACAUAGAGAGAUGCCAAUUUUGUAAGAAUGAUUUAUAUAAAUAAAAGAAUAAAACUCU